rnacentral:lncRNA from 1 species
UUGAACAGAGGAGGGAGAGGGGUUUUCUUUUUCUUUCUUCUUUUUUUCCUCCAGUGGUAUGUGGCUGCCCCGUGCCCGACCACAUGUCUGUGACAUGCAGGUGUCUGUGACAUGCAGACCCCUGCAUGGCAUCAAAAGCUAACCCUUAGAUGGGUCCAAACUAGCUCGGUCAGAUCAGAUCUCACAAGAUAUCAGUCAAUAAUGAUGAUGAUACAAUCACGAUAUAUGUGAGUAAGAAGACGACUAUCAUCUGAAUGAAGAAUUUAGGGUUUUUCUUUGUACUUAGGGUUGUGACCGCUCUGGAUUGGGGGAAA